CAUUCCCAGGCUAGGGGUCCAGUCGGAGCUGUUGCCACCAGCCUACGCCAGAGCAACACAACGUGGGAUCGGAGCUGCAUCUGUGACCUAUACCACAGCUUGAGGCAACGCCAGAUCCUUAACCCACUGAGCGAGGCCAGAGACUGAACCUGCAACCUCAUGGUUACUAGUCAGAUUCGUUAACCACUGAGCCAUAACGGGAACUCCAACCCACAUUCCAUUUUGGAAGCUGAGAAAUAAAGGGCAUAUUUCCCUGGAGUCUGUGUACAGUUCAGUACAAGAAUCAUAAGUGUAACAAGUAUGAGCUCUGAAAUCAAUGAAACAUGGGUUUGAAUCCUUACCCUUUUACUUGAGGAAUUUUUGUUUGUUUGUUUGUUUGUUGUCUUUUUAAGGCUGCAUCUGCAGCAUAUGGAAGUUCCCAGGCUGGGGGUCUGUUUGGAGCUGCAGCUGCCAGCCUACACCACAGCCAUGGCAACACCAGAUCUGAGCCACAUCUUUGACUUGUGCCACAGCUUGCAGUAACCCCAGAUCCUUCACCCACUGAGUGAGACCAGGGAUUGAACUGCUAUCGUCAAGGAUACUAUAUUGAGUUCUUAACCCACCAAGCCACAACAGGAACUCCUACUUGGGCAGUUUAAACAAGUGAGCAUUCCUAAGGCUUAGAGUCACUGUGUGGCUUAUAUGAGAUAAUUAUUAUACGCAUAGGUAGUGUGAGAUAAUUACUACACACAUAGUACUUUGCCACGCAGUAGGUGCUUAAUGAUUAUUACGUCUUCCUCAGUGGCAAGUUUCUUAUGCAGGAAAAGAAGCUUGUCUGUCUGUGACGGGAGGACAGACAAUGUUCCCAAGCUUAGCAACCCAGCUAGCUUUGGAUGGUCCCACCUGCCUGUGGAGAACUCCCUGGGAAGCUGGUUGAGGAUGUGUGUCAUCAGAAAACUGGAUUCCAGGCGGGGUUGCCCAGGUGGAGUCCCCAGUUUGGCUCACCCAGCUCCAGGGAGACAAACUUACUCAGAGCUGAGUUAGCCUCGUUGAGCAGAUGCUUCCUUUACCUUGAGAAGAAAACAAGUUUACAAAUGCAGAAAUGGCCGUGAUCAUUGCCAUUUUCCAACUGGAAGCAGCUGAUUGGGACGGUGCAUGGUGCCCUCCUCCUUCCCAGGCCUCACGCUGUAGAUCCACACCCUCCCUCUCUGAUUUUGAGGCUCCGCAUCGGCACACACAUUGUAAACAAUCAGUUUCCAUUUUCAGAUCUUGUCUCCUGAUGAUGGGCUGCCAUCCCCAUUUUUAGGAAAUGGAUGCUCGGCAAACGAUUCAAGGUUGCACAGUUUAUGAAGGUGAUGGCACAUUUUUUUCCCUCCUGCCUUAUGGCAUGAUUUAAUUAGAUCUCCUGUAAUGGCUCAGCUCCUGAAUCACGCAGCGGAAUGGACUUGGAUGUGCCCGCAGGCAAGCUCAGAGCAGAGCAUGUAUGAGAUAUGCAGGGUGACUCAUCAGCAGAUGGAAAAAUGCAGUGAAACCUUUCCUGUUUUUCCACAGGACCAGGCAAGGUGACUGGGGAAGCUUCCCCGGGAAUAGACACCUGGUCAUUCCGCAUCUACAAGAUCAUGGGCAAUGUGUUUACAGUGAAGUGAUCAGCAAAACCACUGUCUGACCUUGAAGUUGUUCUGUGGCUGUUGGACCUUGAAGACACUGAUGGUGUGAAAUCCAGCAGUCUGGGACUUUGAUCAACUAUGUCUGCCCCCACAGAGCAGCUAGGACCUCAGUUAAGCAGGAAGCUUCUCUAGGGCAUGAGGCCCAAGCAGAGAAGUCAGGAGGCCAAGAGGCUCUUCCUUAGUCUGGCAGAUGCUGGGUUAGCUCAAGCUUUUGCAAGGUUUCAGACAUGCACAAACUCUGAUAUCAAUUCCCUUACUGGGGACAUGAAGCUUCACAGAUAUUGUGUUUCAAAUAUUUAAAAAAAGAAAAGAAAACUGAGGCACUGAAGGAUAUUUUGGCAGCUAUGUCCAGGCUGGAUAGAAAGGCAUCCCUGCGGGAGUGUAGCUUUUUUCUCUGGUUCCAAUUCACUUGCUAACAUCCAAAGUAGCCGAUGGAGAGAUAACUGACUAGGUAGAGACUAUGGGAUGAAGAUUUUCUGUUAAGAUGGAAAUGAGGGAGGCAAGUGACAAGUGACUUCCCAAGAGGCUACAUGGAACCAGUCAUCCCACUGAAGACACAGGACUUGCCUAUGUGAUUGGCUGGAACAGCCACAUCCCCUUUUCUGGACUGGAAAGGGAGUUACCCUCCAUUCCCACUCAUAGUCACGGCCACAGUGCCCACCCAGUGGACGCUUGAGCAUCAGUCUCCAGCACUGUCCUGCAACUCCUUCCAGAAUGGAUCCUCAAAGAAGACACAUUCAAACCUCAUUCAUGUAUACAAAGCUCCUUAUUUCAUUCAAGAAACAUUUACUGAUCAUAUGGAAAAUACAUUAUACCAGGAGAUAGAAAGAAUAAAAUACAUCUCCUUUGAACAAAACUCAUCCUUCUGAGAGAGCACAUUCUAGUUCUGGAGGCACAUGAACAAAAGCAAUGCAACUGGUCGCACUGAGGAAAUUGUGUUUUAAUGACAAAAUCAUGGGGCUUGGAUCUUCCACCGUAUGUUCACGGCUACCUCUGCCACGUAGGUGCUACAUGAAUUUUGGCAUAUGGCUAAACCUCUUGGACCCUAGUUUAUUUAUCUAUAAUUGUUGAAAAACUUUAAAAAAAGAUAUUGUGGAGUUUCCAUUGUAUCUCAGAGGGUUAAGAACCCAACAUAGUGUCUGUGAGGAUGUGGGUUCGAUCCCUGGCCUUGCUCAGUGGGUUAAGAAUCCAGUAUUCGGAGUUCCCGUCGUGGCGCAGUGGUUAAUGAAUCCGACUAGGAACCAUGAGGUUGCGGGUUAAGUCCCUGCCCCUGCUCAGUGGGUUAACGAUCUGGCGUUGCCCUGAGCUGUGGUGUAGGUCGCAGACGCGGCUCGGAUCCCGCGUUGCUGUGGCUCUGGUGUAGGCCGGUGGCUACAGCUCCGAUUCGACCCCUAGCCUGGGAACCUCCAUAUGCCGCAGGAGCGGCCCAAGAAAUAGCAAAAAGACCAAAAAAAAAAAAAAAGAAUCCAGUAUUGCCAUGACUGUGGUACAGGUUGCAGAUGUGGCUCAGAUCUGGUGUUGCUGUGGCUGUGGCCUGGGCUGGAAGCUGCAGCUCCAAUUCAACUCCUGGUCCAGUAACUCCCAUAUGCUGCAAGUGCAGCCAUAAAAAAUACAUAUAUAUUAUUAGGGCACUAAUACAUAUAUAAAACCACCCAAAGUAUCAUCUGGCACAGAGAAGCUACUCAAUGGUUUAAAUGGGAAUUCAAAAGUGCUGUGAUCACAAAUGUGCUAUGAAAGCACAGAAAAGACAGCUAGUCUCUGAGAGUUGUAACUGAGCCAGAUUUUAAGACAGUUGUUGUUCACCCAACAGAGAAUUGGGUGAAGAUCGCUGCAAAUGAAUUUUCAUGAGAAAAUAUGCAAAGAAGUAAAAGAGUGGGGUCUAUUUAAUUUGGUACAGAGGUUGCAAAUUGUAGAGCUAGAGCCAGAGUCAAAGGCAAGGCCAUUGUGGCUAGCUGGUACUACAUUUUGGAAUAAGGUCAUGGUGUCAGCCCUGGAGGCAAUUGGGAAGGUUCAUAAAUGGGAUUUGUAAAAUUAAUUCUGGAGAGCAGGGUACUGGGACAGUGAAAUGAAGGGGGGGAAUUAGGGGGUAAAGGUCAUGUAGAUGAGGGAUGGUCAUCCCUCAGGACUUCACCUGGACUAGUGUCAAGGAAGACAGAGACUAGAAACUGGAGUGGAGGAGAAUUUACAAGGUCAUCUGAAUUCGAUGACCAAGUGGCUAUGGGGUGUAGGGUGGGAGAGGAUCCAAGGGUGUCACAGCUCAGGCUGUGGAAAGUUGCCAACAUCUGCUCCAAGAAGUUCAAUAGAGCACUCUUCAUGAGCUUAUAGGUGUCCAAGAGGCAGGGGCUGAAACACUCCCAACUCUGCACAUCUCUGCAUUCUCAUCCUGGUUGCAGCUGUGAGCUCUGGGUGCUGGGCUAUGUCAGCAUCUGCAUGGCUAUUCUUAUUUAAUGCUCCUAACAAUCCUCCAAGGCAGGCAGGAUCAUUCUCAUACCACAGAGGAGGAAAUGGGGGCUCCACUCAGUUAAGAACCUCGCCCAGUGUCAUAGAGCCAAGCAAACAUUGGAGCUAGAAAUCUGCCAAGAUUUGCUUGAUGCCAAAGCCCCACCCAUCACCCCUUCCUACUCUCUGUUCCUCUUGUGAGGAUGUUUAUCUCCCACCAUUCCUAUUGGGAAGCCACUUAAGAGGAUCGCCCUCUUUAAAUGAAGACAAUCUCUCUCCACAGAAAUAGAUUAUUUUCCUGGGUUCAAGGGAGAGGAGAUGCUGAUGGAAGCCAGGCAGCCUCCUUCUUUCAAGUUAUUUAUUAGAGAAGGAACAUUUGACUAAGCCAGGCAGGAAACUGGCAUCCAUCCAGUCAUCACCUCCACUACUUACUAGUAGCAGCCCACCAUGUUCUUGGCUCUCCUGCACUGUGCCAGCACUGUAUUCAUCAUUUGAAGAUGUCUAGGAUGCUUCUGGAAACCUCUCCUGCUGCUCGUCUUCAUUUUACCACCUUCCAGGGAGGAAAUGUUACCCCUUUAGCAUCCUGACAGUUCACAGAAGAAUCAAUGGGUCUUUCAUUUCUGGAAUUGCUGAAAAUACUGCAGAUCAUUUCCAACUUAACCUCUGAGGAACUGUAUUGGGUUCUGCCUAAUCCCCAUCAGUCUUCCAGGAAAUUAAAGCUUUAAUCUCAAUUCAGUCUUUACAGAGAGCAGUGCACCUUCUGUGUCAAGCAGGGCUAUGCUGGCCUCCCGAUGGCUUGAGAUGCCUCAACUGUGACUUGCACAUAUGGAACAUAGGAGUCUGCAGAAUUCAUGCCACAGGACAGUCUUGGUCACUCAGGUAUUCAUUCAGCUUUGAAAAUAAGAUAUCCAGGAGUCCCUGUUAUGGCUCAGCAGGUUACAAACCUGGCUAGUAUCCAUGAGGACUCAGGAUUGAUUCCUGGCCUUGCUCAGUGGGUUGAGGAUCUGGCAUUGCAGUGAGCUGUGGUGUAGGUUGCAGAUGCGGCUUGAAUCCCAUGUUGCUGUUGCUGUGGUGUAGGCUGGCAGCUGCAGCUCCAAUUUGACCCCUAGCCUGGGACCUGGAAACUUACAUAUGCCAUGAGUGCAGCCCUAAAAAGAAAAAAAAAAGAGAGAGAGAGACAGAGAGGGAGAGGGAGAGGGAAAAGAAAGUGAGAUAUUCAUGCUUGGUUUGAAAAUUUGGGUCUCUGGUCUCAACAUGACUGUGACAAUGGAAAGCAGCUGUGUGACCAAUGACCUGCUAUAGCUAAUAGGUAAGCUUGACCACCAUGAAUUAAAAAAAAAAAAAUCCCAGCCCUCAUAGCUGAGGAUCAGAAGGGCAGUUUGCUAUGGCCUCUCUAUAAAUCAGUGUAAAUUUUUCUAGAAAGACCAGAACACUGCUUUUUCUUUGGUUUUCAGAUUAUCCACUGCAGCACGCACUGCAUCACAGCAAACCUCACAUUUAUGGUGGACCUCCAACUAGUGGUGUGUUCUUAGGGGGUAGGGAUUAUGCAGGGUUCACCUUUCACCCUAAUGCUUAGCACAGCACCUGGAACUUAGAAAGUCUUUAAUAAAUAUUGUUCAGAGCUACUGCUUACGGCAUAACUAUUGACAGAGGCCAUCGUAAAGCACUACAGAAAAAAGUAAUUUAAUUCAUUCAGGAGUCUGCUCUGUAGGAUUCUUACUCAAGAUGAAUGGCAAAAGAAUAUAUGGGGAGGGGGAAGGUGGAUGAUGGCCUUAGAAAUGAAGAUGGAUUAUACUACUGUAAUGUUGUCCUUUUAUUAUGUAUCUAAUAUAUUCUAAAAGAAAAAAUGCUCACUUAAAAAAAAAAGAGUAAAAGGAAGACUCUGUGGUCCUUCCAAUUAAUGUAAUGGGGAUCUCAAUUUAGCUCAAAGAGAGUCAGUCUUGCCUGGGCUUGUCUGUUGAAUUGGUGAGAGCAGCUGCCCGGAGCCUGUUUGCAUAUGGAUUGAGGGUCCUCUUGGGACAGUACUCAUUCUGAAGAAAGAAGUUGCCUGGCAACAAGAAUUUGACCCAUGGAGACUGCCUUCCCCAACAGAGAAGCAAGGAAGCCUGGGACAGUAUGGUCUGUCAUCUAGAUCUGUCUCCCAGCUGGAUGAAAUGAAUAUAUGUGUAAGUGCCACAGAGAGCGGACAGUCUAAAUGGACAAAGUGGAGAAAAAUAAAUCUUUACUAAUAUCCUUUGAAAACAUUGGAGGACAAUGCAGUGCUUCAGGAGCCAUCUGAGAGCCACUGAAAUGGAAGGAAGGCAUUUUCCUCUUUCUUACUAAAAAUCAGUUUGGUGUGAUAUCACCAAAGCAUUCAGUACAGAGCAUGUGGAGCAGCCACAGCACGGGGGAAGAGACUCUGAUGCGCAGUGAAGCAUUAAGAAUCAAUACCUUGGCAAAAAAAAAAAAAAAGGAUUUCCCUUGUGGCGCAGCUGAAACAAACGAAUCCAACUAGGAACAAUGAGGUUGCAGAUUUGAUCCCUGGUCUCGCUCAGUGGGUUAAGGAUCCAGCAUUGCCAUGAGCUGUGGUGUAGGUUGCAGACGUGGCUCAGAACUGGCGUUGCUGUGGCUCUGUCGUAGGCCUGGGAACCUAGCCUGGGAACCUCCAUAUGCCACAAGUGCAGCCCUAAAAAGAUAAAAAGACAAAAAACAAAACAAACAAACAAAAAAACCAGAAUCAAUAUCUUGGAGUUCCCGUUGUGACUCAGCAGGUUAAGAACCCAACACAGUGUCCAAAGGAUUUGGGUUCUGUCCCUGGCCUCACUAAGUGGAUUAAGGAUCCAGCAUUGCUGCAAAAUGCAGUGUAGUUUGCAGAUAAGGCUUUGAUCUGGUGUUGCCAUAGCUGUGGUAUAGACCUCAGGUGUAGCUCCUAUUUGACCCCUAGCCCCAUGCCACAGGUAUGG
rnacentral:lncRNA from 1 species